rnacentral:lncRNA from 1 species
AAUUCAAUCAAAUGGACCAAUAGUUGUAAUAGGACCAAAAUUGUUUUAAUAAAGAUUAAAAUGAAUAUUUAUAUAUGAUGAGACCUAAAACCCUCAACCAAACCAUUAUUAAGUUGAUAAGCGAGAGAUGCUUUGAACAUCUCUUCGUAGGCCUUCCACCAUGGUAGGCUUCAAUCGUUUGUGACUCAUACACUGUAUUCGUCCAGUUCUGGGGUAUGCAAAGUAUGUGCUUACAUUCAGAAGAAGCCUAUAAACAUAUGAUGAAGUGAAAGGUAGGCAACGAGUAUGGUCAAUAUGAUAUUCUUCUGAGGCCAUUCUUGAACCCCUACUUGAACUAGUAUGGUGGGAAUGACUUAACUAAGUACAAUGGUGUCAAUAUGAUAUUCUUCUGAGGCAUCAUUUUCUAGAGGCCAAAUUAGAUGGAUAAUUACAAAAGUUGUAAAUGGCUAAAGCGUUAUCCUCUCAUCAUUAUUGUUGCUAGCCAAUAUGAUAUUCUUCUGAGGUGGGCUUGGUAAUGGUGAGUCUCCCAUACCCUACUAAGAGUUUCAUCCAAAACUCUCAAAUUCCAAUGAGGGAUAUGGAAUUUGCCAAAAAUAGUGGGUGGUGCUAUUUGAUUUAAAGACCCGAAUCAAAUGGCUUAUAAUCAAUCAAUUUAUAUUCGUUAUGUAUUUAUUUACCAAUAUAUUUGCAA